CAGAAGGCUGAGUGACAGGAGGCUCGUGGCUCCAUUGCUUUCAGGAUGGAAAAAGAAAGAAGAAUAAGAAUUUAGAGCUUGCUUGCUUGCUUGGGAGAGUGAAUCCUUCAUUUCUGUUUAGAGAACCAUCGCUGUUUUGUACAUAUAGAACAUAACCAACGGGAUAUUUCUGCUGGCUGAAGGAUAAAAUUCCUUCCUGCAAAUGGAAGACUGUUCAUAGAUGGAACAGAAACUCAAACUCCAAGAAGAUGUACUUUAUCGUUCCUACAGGAAGCAGGCUGAAAGGAAUGCCUAAAAACCUAUUCACUGGAACAAAGUAGAUAUCAAGAAUAGAACAAGGCUCUUGGUUGCUAUGUCUAUAUGUAAUGUCCCUAGUGGGUCAGUAGG